UCCUCGGAGAUAAAGCAGGAUACAUUUACCAAAAACACUUUUGAUUCACUUACAACUCGAUGGAGGGCUGGCCUAUAACACCCACGAUGCGGUUAUAUCUCCCACGUGUCGGAGCACGACUUAGAGGCAUAACCGCAUUGUAGGCAUGUCGUAAGAGGGGUAAUCUUUACACAUCCCAUGUACUGAAUAAGAAAGGGAUACAGAGUUGGCUUACAUUCGCCACUUCACACAAUACAUAAAUAUAUCAUUACAUCAUCCAGAAUACAAUCAAGGUCCGACUACGGAACGAAAAUAAAAGAAGACCACCCCUAAUGCUAGAUCCCCGAUCGCCCCGACUGGGCUCCGCUACUGACCAACUUGAAACAAAACAACACAAUGAACACGAUCUUCAUCGAGCUCCUCCUUGAGCUCGGUUGCGUCACUUGCACAGUUAUCAUCGGCACCUGCAACUGUUUGAAGUAAUCUGUGAGUCACGGGGACUCAGCAAUCUCAUACCCGCGAGAUCAAGACUAUUUAAGCUUAUGGGAAAAGGGGGUAGUGAGGUGGAGCUGCAGCAAGCACUAGCAUAAAUGGUGGCUAACUUACACAAAUGAGAGCGAGAAGAGAAGCAAAACAUGGUCGUGAACUACAAGUGAUCCUGAAACUACUUACAUUCAAGCAUAAGACAAGAACCGUGUUCACUUCCCGGACUCAGCCGGAAAGAGACCAUCACGGCUACACACGCGGUUGAUGCAUUUUAAUUAAGUUAAGUUUCAAGUUCUCUACAACCGGACAUUAACAAAUUCCCAUCUUCCCAUAACCGCGGGCACGACUUUCGAAAGUUCAAAACCCUACAGGGGUGUCCCAACUUAGCCCAUCACAAGCUCUCACGGUCAACGAAGGAUAUUCCUUCUCCCAGGAAGACCCGAUCAGGCUCAGAAUCCUAGUUACAAGACAUUUCGACAAUGGAAAACAAGACCAGCAAGACCGCCCGAUGCGCUGACAUCUUGAUAGGAGCUGCACAUAUCCCAUUCUAAGGGCAACACCAGAUGAGCGCUCCAUACAACUAAAAUCAGCCCUCAAGUUUCCUCGAGGUGGCGCUGCAAAGGAUUCUAGUUCGGACCAACACUUAGACAAGCACUGGCCCGGGGGGGGGGCUUAAAAUAAAGAUGACCCUCAAGAGAGCGACUCCCAAGGGAAAAAGUAGGUGGUGGUGAGGCAAAUGGUAAAACCAAGGUUGGGCCUUGCUGGAGGAGUUUUAUUCAAAGCGAACUGUCAAGGGGUUCCCAUAACACCCAACCGUGUAAGGAACGCAAAAUCAAGGAACAUAACACCGGUAUGAUGGAAACUAGGGCGGCAAGAGUGGAACAAAACAGCAGGCAUAAGACCGAGCCUUCCAACCUUUACCAGGUAUAUAGAUGCAUUAAUUAAACAAUAUAUAUAGUGAUAUCCCAACAAUAUCCAUGUUCCAAACAUGGAACAAACUUCAUCUUCACCUGCAACUAACAACGCUAUAAGAGGGGCUGAGCAAAAGCGGUAACAUAGCCAAACAACGGUUUGCUAGGAAAAGGUGGGUUAGAGGCUUGACAUGGCAAUGUGGGAGCCAUGAUAUAGCGAGUGGUAGGUAUCGCGGCAUAGCAAUAGAUCGAGCAACUAGCAAGGAAAGAUAGAAGUGAUUUCGAGGGUAUGGUCAUCUUGCCUGAGAUCCCGCAAGGAAAAAGAACGAGUCCAUGAAGAAGACAAGCGGACGUAGUCGAACGAAUCCUUACAAACGCGACGUUAUCGGAACCAACCCAAAGAAGCAACACCGGAAAGAAGCAAACAACAUAGUAAAC
rnacentral:lncRNA from 1 species